UAACGAAUCUUCCGCAAUGGGCGAAAGCCUGACGGAGCAAUGCCGCGUGUGGGAUGAAGCGCCUUCGGCGUGUAAACCACUGUCAGGGAAUGGAACCAAUGAUUAUUCCCAAAGGAAGUGGCGACUAACUCUGUGCCAGCAGUCGCGGUAAUACAGAGGCCACAAGCGUUAGUCGGAAUCACUGGGCUUAAAGGGUGCGUAGGCGGGCCCGCAAGCGUCUUGUGAAAUCCCAUGGCUCAACCAUGGAAUUGCAGGGCGAACUGCGGGUCUUGAGGCAGGUAGGGGCCGGAAGAACAGUAGGUGGAGCGGUGAAAUGCGUAGAUAUCUACUGGAAUGCCGAUGGGGAAGCCGUCCGGCUGGGCCUGUCCUGACGCUGAGGCACGAAAGCGUGGGGAGCAAACAGGAUUAGAUACCCAAGUAGUCCCUGAGCGGGCUGGCAAGGCGCAU
rnacentral:rRNA from 1 species